CCAGGUUUUGGACUCAAUCCGAUAUCGAUUGGUCCUUGAAAUCGGACAAUUCAGGUUCGUACGAAGUUCGUUUUGAAAUGGGGUGGUUGGUGUAUUGUAUAGUUCUAGAGAUUGGAUUUCACUCAAAACCCACCAAAUGACUCCUCCCACAAUAUUAUGAUGUUCCCCCGGUUUUGGACUCAGUCCGAUACCGAUUGGUCCUUGAAAUCGGACAACUCAGGUUCGUACGAUGUUCGUUCAUAAAUGGGGUGGUUGGUGUAUUGUAUAGUUCUAGGGAUUUGAUUUCACUCAAAACCCACCAAAUGACUCCUCCCACAAUAUUAUGAUGUUCCCCAAGUCUAGGCAUUCUAGAAGAUGUUUUGGUGAAAGUGGAAGAGCUAAUUUUGCCAGCAGAUUUCUUGCUGUUGGAAAUAGAAGAAGCACCAAUUCGUGACAAUCAGUUGCCACUCAUUGUAGGUCGGCCAUUCAUGGCAACUGCCGGUGCUAUUAUUGAUGUGAAGAAGGGGACAUUGACCAUGAAUGUGUUUGAUGAGACAAUAGCAUUCAAAGUGUUUGAAGCCUCCAAGUUCCCAAGUGAUGAGCAUGAAGUUUUCCAUCUUGAUGCAAUUGAUACUAUGGUGAAAGAAGCACUGCCAAUGAGUUAUUUGGAGCCCAUUGAAGCAUGCAUCACACAAAGCAUAAGGAAAGAAGAAGUGGACAGCUUAGAGGCUGUGAUCUCUCCUUUACUUCUUGAGCUUGUUUGCAGCAUGGAUAGCUACAUAGGAAUUGGAAAAAGGUAUGCAAACCAAUUUGAAUCAUUACCCCCACCUACUAAUAAGGUUUUACCUUCUAUUGUGCAGGCACCAGAGUUGGAAUUAAAGCAAUUGCCAAAACACCUUAAAUAUGCUUAUUUAGGUGAAAAUGAGACUCUACCUGUUAUCAUUGCCUCACAUCUCGGACCAAAUGAUGAAAAGAAGCUUUUGAGAGUUCUAAAAGAGCACAAAACUGCAAUCGGGUGGAGCAUUGCAUCAAAGGCAUAAGCCCAACACUGUGCAUGCACAAGAUAUUAUUGGAAGACAAUGCAAUGCCUAAGAGGGAUGCCCAAAGACGUCUCAAUCCGAACACGAAGGAGGUGGUAAGGAAAGAGGUAAUUAAGCUUUUAAAUGUUGGUAUUAUUUACCCUAUUUCUGACAGUAAAUGGGUGAGCCCAGUGCAAGUUGUCCCCAAGAAGUCAGGUAUCACAGUGGUGAAGAAUGAAGCAAACGAACUUGUACCUACACGGAUGACCACGGGCUGGAGAGUUUGCAUUGAUUAUAGGAAGCUCAACACAGCGACAAGCAAAGAUCACUUUCCUCUUCCAUUCAUUGAUCAAAUGCUUGAGAGAUUAGCUGGGCAUAGCCACUAUUGCUUCCUUGAUGGAUAUUCAGGCUACAACCAAAUCGCCAUAGCCCCAGAGGAUCAAGAGAAGACGACCUUCACAUGUCCCUUUGGCACUUUCGCUUAUAGGAGGAUGUCUUUUGGUCUCUGUAACGCCCCAGCCACUUUUCAAAGGUGCAUGAUGAGCAUUUUCUCCGACAUGGUAGAAAGGUUCAUUGAGGUAUUCAUGGAUGACUUCUCUGUCUUUGGUGAUUCUUUUGAUCAAUGCUUGCAUAACUUAUCCAAGGUGUUGGCUAGAUGUGAACAUACUAACCUUGUGCUUAAUUGGAAAAAAUGUCAUUUUAUGGUUAACCAAGGCAUAGUUCUUGGUCAUGUCAUCUCUAGUAAAGGAAUUGAGGUAGAUAAAGCUAAGAUUGAUUUGAUUGCCUCUAUGCCCUCACCUACUUCUGUCAAAGAAGUACGUUCUUUCCUUGGCCAUGCAGGUUUCUAUAGGCGUUUCAUUAAGGAUUUUUCUAAGAUUACAAGGCCUAUGUGCAAUCUCCUUGCCAAGGACAUGGAUUUUGUGUUUGAUCAAGACUGUGAGAAUGCUUUCAAUGCUUUGAAGAAGAUGCUCACAACUGCCCCAAUCAUUAUACCACCGGAUUGGAGCUUGCCUUUUGAAUUGAUGUGUGAUGCCUCAGAUUAUGCUGUUGGAGCUGUUUUGGGACAGCGAGUUGAUAAGAAGCCACAUGCCAUCUACUAUGCUAGUAGAACCCUCAACGAUGCCCAACUCAACUAUUCCACCACAGAGAAGGAGUUGUUAGCUGUCAUAUUUGCUUUAGAGAAGUUCAGAUCAUAUUUGAUUACUAACAAGGUUAUUGUUUACACUGAUCAUGCAGCAUUGAAAUACUUGUUAGCUAAGAAGGAUGCCAAACCACAACUCAUUAGAUGGAUUCUCUUAUUGCAAGAGUUUGACUUGGAGAUAAAAGAUAAGAAAGGAAGUGAGAAUGUUGUGGCUGAUCACUUGAGUAGAUUGGUGCAUGUAUCUAACGAAGAGGAGGAUUCAUUGCCAUUGCGUGAAAGCUUCCCUGAUGAGCAACUCUUCUCCAUUUGUGCUUUCAAUUCUCUCAAUCCAUUGCCUUGGUUUGCUGAUAUUGCUAACUAUUUGUGCACUAAUGAACUCCCUACAGGGUUAUCUACGUUCCAACGUAACAAGCUUAGGAAGCAAGCAAGAUACUACUUUUGGGAUGAUCCAUAUCUAUUCAAGCAUUGUCCAGACCAAGUAAUUCGAAGGUGUGUGCCUGAAGGUGAUUUUAAGAGCAUUCUGGAGUUUUGUCACUCCCACGCAUGCGGAGGCCAUUUUGGACCAAAGAAGACUGCCAGCAAAGUGCUACAAUCAGGUUUCUUUUGGCCUACCCUUUUUAAGGAUGCUUAUGUUUUUUGUGCUUCAUGUGAUAGAUGCCAACGGAUGGGUAAUUUACAUGCUAGAAAUCAGAUGCCUCUCACCAAUAUCUUAAUCAUUGAUAUAUUUGAUGUUUGGGGAAUUGAUUUCAUGGGCCCUUUUCCUACCUCUUAUGGAUUUGAAUAUAUAUUAGUUGCUGUCGAUUAUGUUUCUAAAUGGGUGGAAGCCAUUGCCACUAGAACUAAUGAUGCUAAGGUUGUGAUCGGUUUUCUCAAAGGAAAUAUUUUUACAAGGUUUGGCACACCUAGAGCAAUCAUUAGUGAUGGUGGCUCCCACUUUGUUAACCAAGCUUUUGCAGCACUCUUGACGAAAUAUGGAAUCACGCAUAAAGUGGCAACACCCUAUCAUCCUCAAACUAGUGGGCAGGUUGAGAUAAGCAAUAGGGAGAUUAAGCACAUACUUGAAAAGACAGUGAACACCACAAGGAAGGAUUGGUCCAUGUGUUUGGAUGAUGCAUUGUGGGCUUAUAGGACUGCUUAUAAGACCCCUAUAGGUAUGUCUCCGUAUAGACUUGUUUUUGGUAAACCUUGUCACUUACCAGUGGAGCUUGAGCACAGGGCUUAUUGGGCAAUCAAGGCCCUGAAGUUUGAUAUGAAAGCUGCUGGUGAGAAGAGGAGGCUUCAACUCAAUGAGCUGGAGGAGUUGCGACAUGAAGCAUAUGAGAAUGCGAAGCUUUACAAGGAGAAAACAAAGCAAUAUCACGACAAGAAAAUUCUUAGGAAGACGUUUGAGAAAGGGCAGAAGGUUCUCUUAUUCAAUUCACGCCUUAAACCCAGGUAAGCUUCAUUCUCGGUGGAUUGGCACUUUUGUUAUUACUAAUGUGUUUAAUCAUAGCGCAGUGGAGAUUCAAAACAUUAAGGAUGGCAGCACCUUCAAGGUGAAUGGACAUCGGUUGAAACCUUACUUCGAUGCCAAUAUUGAGUCUCAAGCACUCAAGGAGCCUCCACCACUCUCUUAUAGCUCACCAGAGUUUGGAUGUCCGGCUGAAGAUGUGAAACUUUGCGCUUCUUGGGAGGCAACCCAAGGUGAUGAGGAGAAGAUAGAAUAUGUGAGGAAGCUUGGCUGCAUCCUAAUCGCUUCAAAGGGGAGUUUUUCUGAAAUCUAACCUUUGGUUAUGUCUUUCCUUUGUCUUCUUUCCUUUCAUUUAUGUGGCAUUGCUUUUUCUUACACUCUAAACAUUGAGGACAAUGUUUCAUUUAAGUUUGGGGGGAAGGAUUUAGUUAUGUUCUUUCAAAUUGUCAAAUUUUAUAAUUUUGAGUGUGUCUAAUGGCCAAAAACGCAGGAUUUUGUGUCUUGUUUCGUUAUCCUUCCAAACACCUAUGAUAAGACUUGGAUCUAAUACUAAUAUGGUUUCUCAUAAAUUGAUAGUCAUUGUUUAAGGACUUUGUGUGGUUCUGAGUUAACUCUGUCUUGCUUGCCAUCCUUGCACUUAUUGAGCACUUUGUCGAGUUAGUCCAAUUUCUUGCUACUUGGAGACGAUAUGCAAUUCUACUUAUCUCAGAUCUUGGUUUCGUACUCUAGAACUUAUUUGAAUAUCUCUUGAGACAUUUUGUUGCCAUACAAUGCUUAGGAAGUGAUUUAGGCCAUGUUUGAACCGUUUGAGCUUUUCUAACAAUCCCUCUACAUGUAUUCAUCCCUAGUCAACCCAUUUGAGCCUACGUUAAGCCUUUCUUUGUGUAAACCAUUCUUACCAUAAUGAACCUCUGUUUUCUUAUUCUUACUUAUUCUAUGAGCAAUUAAAGUUAUCUUCAAAAGAGAGUUAUAAAGAAUGCAAGGUUUUUGGAGCAAAAGUGAAUCAUUAGUGCCAUAACCCAAGUGUUGAAAAGAAAUAAAUUUGGGGGUAUUGGUAACUAAUCAAAAGAGGUAAUGAAGUGUGACCAAUGUAGUCACGGCCCUAUGGUGUUAUAAAAGAGAAGAUCAUGGUGAUCUAGGGUAAAGAGCCACAAAAUUAGGCCAAAGAAACAGAUAUGAAGGUGCUGAAAUUAUGUUGAAAAUGUGCUCAUGUAUGUGUUCCUUGCUUGUUACAAAGUUCAGUAAUCUCUUAUGCUCUUACCUGUGCUUUAAUUGUGCUCAAAAUAUUGUAUAUCUCAUAUCCCUUCUUUCAUUCAACCACUGCCCUAAACCUCAUUACUACCCUUGUAAAGUCCUUUUGAUCCUUGGUAUUGUAUGGUAUUACUGUGGAGAGCUGAUUUGAUAAUGAGCUUAUGGGGUUCGGAAUUCUUGAUUUUGCUCUAAGUGUGUGCGCAUGUACUUAUCUGAGUUGCAGGUGUUGUACUGAUUCGGAAUUCACACACUACACUUAAGGAUGUCAUUGUGAGCUUUGGUUACCCUUGAAUCAUAUGUGGAACUCAGAUUGUGAUUGUUGUGUUUCUUUGGGACCAUAUACGUCGGUGAUUCUUUGAGGAUAUUGUUUGGAAGGCUAGUUGCUUAUUUCCUAUUUCCUAAGUUGUAGUUUUAUUUUGUUUUGCUCGAGGACUAGCAAAAUCUAAGUUUGGGGGUAUUUGAUAAGCUCUUAAUUUCACACAUUUGCAUGCCUUCUUUCCUUAGUAAUUUUUCUUAGCUUCUCUUUAUUUUGAGUCUCUUACCUAUGUUUGUGUGCUUUGUAGGUUAAGACAGCAAGGGGAUGACAUUUGAUACAAUUCAUGCAUGUUAAGGGCUGAGUGGCACAAGAGGAAUAUGAGCUUAAAGACAAAACCAAUUUGUGCCACACUCCUUGUCAGUCCAGUUUCGUAGGUCAUCUUACAGGCCUCAUUUCAGUAACUUACACAGGUCGAAUGAGGAGACAUCCUUGAUAGAAGUUGUUCCAAUGGGUGUCUAUUAUAACAUAUCCACAUUUCAGCCCAAUUGGAUAAAUCUGGAGCCCUCAACAAGUCAAAGACUGAACCAAGUUGACAGAAAUGUCAUGUUGGCUGCCAUCACAUUUAAUGUGGCUACAUCCCUAGAGCCAUGUGCUACACAUGGGCAGCCAUACAUAGGAGUCAAAUCAGCUCAGAAGCUCAGAAAGAUGAACAAAAGUCAAGCUUUCCAUAAAGAAACCAUACCAAAGCAUGUAUUUGUCAGCUGGAGCAGUUGGCAAGUAUGGGCAGCUGGAGCAGUUGGGAGCAGCUAAGAGAGGUGUACUUCACCAGCCAAAGGGGAGCACGAAAUUUCACUCUAUAAAUAGAGAGUUGCACACUCAUUCAAGGGGGAGAGAGCAGACACACACAUUCACUUCAUCCAUUACUCUCAUACACACAUUCAGAUUCACCACAAAGAGAGAAGAGAGCUUGGAGCUGUCCUGGGAACUUCCUUGCUGCCAUCAUCUAGUUCUUCUCCUCUCUUUAUCCUAUCUAUGUAUUUCUUAUUUUCUGUAUUCAUAGUUAUGUCUAACUAAUCCAUUUAGUUAGGGCUUAGGAUGAAGCCCUAGUCAUGAAUAUUAAAUGUUAUGGAUGAUUUUAUGGUUAAUUGAUUUCCUUGCUUUUAUUAUCAAGUUGUUAAUCUCCAGUUUAUUAUGUGCUUGAUGUAUGUUUUCUUGGAGUAGCUAACUAGGAUUUUAUGCAUCUAGCACAGGUUGGGAAGGGGUUUAGAUUCACCAAUUCUACUCUCCUUUCACAAGCAACACUUGAAUGGCCUAAGAAUCAUUCAAGGCGUUAAUAACCAUAGGUUGACUAGGACAGAUACCAUGUUCUUGGACUUGUGUGAUUAUCAUAUUCUCAAGGAGCUUAAUGACUCUUGUAUGCUUUAUUCUAAGUAGAUACCAUGCUUAGGUUGCAUAUUAGAGAUCACGUGUUGUGUAGAUACCAUGCAUAAUCACAUGCCUUAGGAGAAUCAUGCAUCCUGCACCUAGAUACCAUAGGCUUGUAUGCGAUGAUCUAUUGUUGAUGAAGCUUGAGUCAAUUUCUAUGCAUUCAUAACUUGGAUAGGAAAACUAGUGGUGGAUUCCAAGGCUCUAACACCUUUCAAUCAUUGUUUCGCAACUUGUUGAUUGCUGCCAGUGUUUACUUUCGAGCACUUUCAUUUCACUUUCUUGUUUUCAUUUCAACAACAAAACCCCCCAUUUCGAGUGCGUGUGUGGUGCUAGGAUUCUGUCCUAGACCUUGAGUAAUUAGCAAGAGGCAUUGUUGAAUUCGACCUUGCCUUUAGCUAGUUAGUCAGUUUCUUCGUUCAUUGUUUUUCUAGCAUUCUAAGUAAUUUAACUUGGAACCAAGUUACCAUUCUCCGUGGGAUCGACCUCGUAUUUACAUAAGCUAUACUAUAAAUGGUUCGUGCACUUGCGAGAAUUAAAGUUGCUGUUUUUAAUAACUCAUUUUAGUUGUUAAGAACUGGCGCAACAUUGGAUUUCACUAAAAACCCACCAAAUGACUCUUCCCACAAUAUUAUGAUGUUCCCCAAGUUUUGGACUCAAUCCGAUAUCGAUUGGUCCUUGAAAUCGGACAAAUCAGGUUCGUAUGAAGUUCGUUCUGAAAUGGGGUGGUUGGUGUAUUGUAUAGUUGUAGAGAUUGGAUUUCACUCAAAACCCAACAAAUGACUCCUCCCGCAAUAUUAUGACGUUCCCCAAGUUUUGGACUCAAUCCGAUAUCGAUUGGUCCUUGAAAUCGGACAAUUCAGGUUCGUACGAAGUUCAUUCUGAAAUGGUGUGGUUGGGGUAUUGUAUAGUUCUAGGGAUUGUAUUUCACUCAGAACCCACCAAAUGACUCCUGCCACAAUAUUAUGAUGUGCCCCAAGUUUUGGACUCAAUCCGAUAUCGAUUGGUCCUUGAAAUCGGACAAUUCAGGUUCGUACGAAGUUCGUUCUGAAAUGGUGUGGUUGGUGUAUUGUAUUGUUCUAGGGAUUCGAUUUCACUCAAAACCAUCAAAUGACAACCCCCACAAUAUUAUGAUGUUCCCCAAGUUUUGGACUCAAUCCGAUAUCGAUUGGUCCUUGAAAUCGGACAAUUCAGGUUCGUACGAAGUUCGUUCUGAAAUGGGGUGGUUGGUGUAUUGUAUAAUUCUAAGGAUUGGAUUUCACUCAAAACCCACCAAUGACUCCUCCCACAAUAUUAUGAUGUUCCCCAAGUUUUAGAUUCAAUCCGAUACCGAUCGGUCCACGAAAUUUGACAAUUCAGGUUCGUACAAAGUUCGUUCUGAAAUGGAGUGGUUGGUGUAUUGUAUUGUUCUAGGGAUUGUAUUUCACUCAAAACCCACCAAAUGACUCCUCCCACAAUAUUAUGAUAUUCCCCAAGUUUUGCACUCAAUCCGAUAUCGAUUGGUCCUUGAGAUCGGACAAUUCAGGUUCGUACGAAGUUCGUUCUGAAAUGGGGUGGUUGGUGUAUUGUAUAGUUCUAGAGAUUGGAUUUCACUCAAAACCCAGCAAAUGACCCCUCCCACAAUAUUAUGAUGUUCCCCAAGUUUUGGACUCAAUCCGAUAUCGAUUGGUCCUUACAAUCAGACAAUUCAGGUUCGUACGAAGUUCGUUCAUAAAUGGCGUGGUUGGUGUAUUGUAUAGUUCUAGGGAUUGGAUUUCACUCAAAACCCAUCAAAUGACAGCUGCCACAAUAUUAUGAUGUUCCCCAAGUUUUGGACUCAAUCCGAUAUCGAUCGGUCCACGAAAUUUGACAAUUCAGGUUCGUACGAAGUUCGUUCUGAAAUGGAGUCGUUCGUGUAUUGUAUAGUUCGAGAGAUUGGAUUUCACUCAAAACCCACCAAAUGACUCCUCCCACAAUAUUAUGAUGUUCCCCAGGUUUUGGACUCAAUCUGAUAUCGAUCGGUCCGCGAAAUUUGACAAUUCAGGUUCGUAUGAAGUUCGUUCUGAAAUGGAGUGGUUGGUGUAUUGUGUAGUUCUAGGGAUUGUAUAUCACUCAAAACCCACCAAAUCACUCCUCCCACAAUAUAAUGAUGUUCCCCAAGUUUCGGACUCAAUCUGAUAUCGAUUGGUCCUUGAAAUCGGACAAUUCAGGUUCGUAUGAAGUUCGUUCUGAAAUGGGGUGGUUGGUGUAUUGUAUAGUUCUAGAGAAUGGAUUUCCCUCAAAACCCAGCAAAUGACUCCUCCCACAAUAUUAUGAUGUUCCCCAAGUUUUGGACUCAAUCCGAUAUCGAUUGGUCCUUGAAAUCGGACAAUUCAUGUUCGUACAAAGUUCGUUCUGAAAUGCGGUGGUUUGUGUAUUGUAUAGUUCUAGAGAUUGGAUUUCACUCAAAACCCAGCAAAUGACUCCUCCCACAAUCUUAUGAUGUUCCCCAAGUUUUGGACUCAAUCCGAUAUCGAUUGGUGCUUGAAAUCGGACAAUUCAGGUUUGUACGAAGUUCGUUCUGAAAUGGUGUGGUUGGUGUAUAGUUCUAGGGAUUGUAUUUCACUCAAAACCCAUCAAAUGACAGCUCCCACAACAUUAUGAUGUUCCCCAAGUUUUGGACUCAAUCCGAUAUCGAUCGGUCCAAGAAAUUUGACAAUUCAGGUUCGUACGAAGUUCGUUCUGAAAUGGAGUGGUUGGUGUAUUGUAUAGUUCCAGAGAUUGGAUUUCACUCAAAACCCACCAAAUGACUACUCCCACAAUAUUCUGAUGUUCCCCAAGUUUUGGACUCAAUUCGAUAUCGAUUGGUCCUUGAAAUCGGACAAUUCAGGUUUCGUACGAAGUUCGUUCGUAAAUGGGGUGGUUGGUGUAUUGUAUAGUUCUAGUGAUUGGAUUUCACUCGAAUCCCACCAAAUGACUCCUCCCACGAUAUUAUGAUGUUCCCCAGGUUUUGGACUCAAUCCGAUAUCGAUUGGUCCUUGAAAUCGGACAAUUCAGGUUCGUACGAAGUUCGUUCUGAAAUGGGAUGGUUGGUGUAUUCUAUAGUUCUAGAGAUUGGAUUUCGCUCAAAACCCACCAAAUGACUCCUCCCACAAUAUUAUUAUGUUCCCCAAGUUUUAGGCUCAAUCCGAUAUCGAUUGGUCCUUGAAAUCGGACAAUUCAGGUUCGUACGAAGUUCGUUCAUAAAUGGGGUGGUUGGUGUAUUGUAUAGUUCUAGAGAUUGGAUUUCACUCAAAACCCCCCAAAUGACUCCUCCCAUAAUGUUAUGUUGUUCCUCAAGUUUUGGACUCAAUCCGAUAUCGAUUAGUCCUUGAAAUCGGCCAAUUCAGGUUUGUACGAAGUUCGUUCUGAAAUGGGGUGGUAGAUGUAUUGUAUAGUUCAAGAGAUUGGAUUUCACUCAAAACCCACCAAAUGAUUCCUCCGCCAAUAUUAUGAUGUUCCCCAAGUUUUGGACUCAAUCCGAUGUCGAUUGGUCGUUGAAAUCGGACAAAUCAGGUUCGUACGAAGUUCGUUCUGAAAUCGGUUGGUUGGUGUAUUGUAUAGUUCUAGGGAUUGGAUUUCACUCAAAACCCACCAAAUGACUCCUCCCACAAUGUUAUGAUGUUCCCCAAGUUUUGGACUAAAUCCGAUAUCGAUUGGGGCUUGAAAUCGAACAAUUCAGGUUCGUACGAAGUUCGUUCCGAAAUGGUGUGGUUGGUGUAUUGUAUAGUUCUAGGGAUUGUGUUUCACUCAAAACCCACCAAAUGACCCCUCCCACAAUAUUAUGAUGUUCCCCAGGUUUCGGACUCAAUCCGAUAUCGAUUGGUGCUUGAAAUCGGACAAUUCAGGUUCGUACGAAGUUCGUUCUAAAAUGGGGUGGUUGGUGUAUUGUAUAGUUCUAGAGAUUGGAUUUCACUCAAAACCCACCAAAUGACUCCUCCCACAAUAUUAUGAUGUUCCCCUAGUAUUGGACUCAAUCCGAUAUUGAUUGGUCCUUGAAAUCGGACAAUUCAGGUUCGUACGAAGUUCGUUCUGAAAAGGGGUGGUUGGUGCAUUGUAAAGUUCUAGAGAUUGGAUUUCACUCAAAACCCAUCAAAUGACAACUCCCACAAUAUUACGAUGUUCCCCAAGUUUUGGACUCAAUCCGACAUCGAUUGGUGCUUGAAAUCGGACAAUUCAGGUUGGUACCAAGUUCGUUCUGAAAUGGGGUGGUUGGUGUAUUGUAUAGUUCUAGAGAUUGGAUUUCACUCAAAACCCUCCAAAUGACUCCUCCCACAAUAUUAUGAUGUUCCCCUAGUAUUGGACUCAAUCCGAUAUUGAUUGGUCCUUGAAAUCGGACAAUUCAGGUUCGUACGAAGUUCGUUCUGAAAAGGGGUGGUUGGUGCAUUGUAAAGUUCUAGAGAUUGGAUUUCACUCAAAACCCAUCAAAUGACAACUCCCACAAUAUUACGAUGUUCCCCAAGUUUUGGACUCAAUCNNNNNNNNNNNNNNNNNNNNNNNNNNNNNNNNNNNNNNNNNNNNNNNNNNNNNNNNNNNNNNNNNNNNNNNNNNNNNNNNNNNNNNNNNNNNNNNNNNNNNNNNNNNNNNNNNNNNNNNNNNNNNNNNNNNNNNNNNNNNNNNNNNNNNNNNNNNNNNNNNNNNNNNNNNNNNNNNNNNNNNNNNNNNNNNNNNNNNNNNNNNNNNNNNNNNNNNNNNNNNNNNNNNNNNNNNNNNNNNNNNNNNNNNNNNNNNNNNNNNNNNNNNNNNNNNNNNNNNNNNNNNNNNNNNNNNNNNNNNNNNNNNNNNNNNNNNNNNNNNNNNNNNNNNNNNNNNNNNCGAUUGGUCCUUGAAAUCGGACACUUCAGUCGUACGAAGUUCGUUCUGAAAUGGGGUGGUUGUGUAUGUAUCGUUCUACAGAUUGGAUUUCACUCAAAACCCACCAAAUGACUCUCCCACAAUAUUAUGAUCUUCCCCAAGUUUUGGACUCAAUCCGACAUCGAUCGGUCCACGAAAUUUGACAAUUCAGGUUCGUACGAAGUUCGUUCUGAAAUGGAGUGGUUGGUGUAUUGUAUUGUUCUAGGGAUUGUAUUUCACUCCAAACCCACCAAAUGACUCCUCCCACAAUAUUAUGAUGUUCCCCAAGCUUUGGACUCAAUCCGAUAUCGAUUGGUGCUUGAAAUCGGACAAUUUCAGGUUCGUACGAAGUUCGUUCUGAAAUGGUGUGGUUGGUGUAUUGUAUAGUUCUAGAGAUUGGAUUUCACUCAAAACCCG
rnacentral:lncRNA from 1 species